rnacentral:sRNA from 1 species
UUGCGUUAGGGAUAGCAGUGGAAAUCCUUUUUGCGAGGGUACGAGCAAAAAGAUUGUAACGUAUAGCCCGACCACAA